rnacentral:rRNA from 1 species
UACGGAGGGUGCAAGCGUUAUCCGGAUUCACUGGGUUUAAAGGGUGCGUAGGUGGGCAAGUAAGUCAGUGGUGAAAUCUCCGGGCUUAACCCGGAAACUGCCAUUGAUACUAUUUGUCUUGAAUACUGUGGAGGUCAGCGGAAUAUGUCAUGUAGCGGUGAAAUGCUUAGAUAUGACAUAGAACACCAAUUGCGAAGGCAGCUGGCUACACAAAUAUUGACGCUGAGACGCGAAAGCGUGGGGAGCAAACAGG